AUUGAUUGGUGGCGAUUCAUCCCUUAGCGGGUGGCCUGCUUGCAUCAAUUUGUCAUCAGAUAAAGCAACAUAGCCAGAGCCCGCAAAAUGUGGGCUUUUUUAU
rfam:Pragia fontium strain 24613, complete genome.